rnacentral:rRNA from 1 species
CCUACGGGUGGCAGCAGUGAGGAAUAUUGGUCAAUGGCCGGAAGGCUGAACCAGCCAAGCCGCGUGAAGGAGGAAGGUGCAAAGCAUUGUAAACUUCUUUUGUCAAGGGACAAAAUCAGGCACGAGAGCCUGACCGAGGGUACCUGAAGAAAAAGCAUCGGCUAACUCCGUGCCAGCAGCCGCGGUAAUACGGAGGAUGCGAGCGUUAUCCGGAUUUCUUGGGUUUAAAGGGUGCGUAGGCGGACUGGUAAUUCAGCGGUCAAACCCCGGGGCUCAACCCCGGCGCGCCGUUGAAACUGGCUGUCUUGAGUUGUCGAUAGUUAUGCGGAAUGCGCCUUGUAGC